AUACAUACUGUGAAGAAAUGUCGCUGCGAAAAUUUUGAAGAUUGCAAAACAGCAGCGACUUAGUCACAUUCUUAAGAUUUGGGAUUCACCAUCAGUACCUUCAACGCUUGCAUCUUCAUCGCCAGGAGCACCAUUAAAACCUUCUGCCCUCAGCUUCUUCAUCGCCAGGAGCACCACCAGUACCUUCUAUCCUCAGCUCCUUCAUCGCCAGGAGCACCAUGGGUACGUUCCGCCCUCAGCACAUUCAAAGCCAGGAGCACCUUCAA